rnacentral:rRNA from 1 species
UACAGAGGUGGCAAGCGUUGUUCGGAAUUACUGGGCGUAAAGGGCGCGUAGGCGGCCUUCUCAGUCGGACGUGAAAUCCCCAGGCUUAACUUGGGAACUGCGUCCGAUACUGGAUGGCUUGAGUGCGGGAGAGGGAUGUGGAAUUCCAGGUGUAGCGGUGAAAUGCGUAGAUAUCUGGAGGAACACCGGUGGCGAAGGCGGCACCCUGGACCGACACUGACGCUGAGGCGCGAAAGCCAGGGGAGCAAACGGG